AUGUGGAUUGCAAGUACAUCCAAGAACAUGGUGUAAUUCAGGACGAAGGAGGCGAGGGGACACUUUCUUGGGGGAUUCAAGAGCUUGAAUUAAGAUUUGAAUGCAGAUAAGGUUUGAGAACAGAUUCUAGCCACUUUAUCUAUGGCUCAAGCAUCAUCAGGAAAACAUUCACAAUCUACAAUUUAGAAUAUUGGCUACUGUUAUUCCGUAUUGACUGAAUCCUAAUUUGCACCACCUACUAAAGCAUCUGUGCAUUGGGAGAGCUUUUUGUGACAGCUGUGGAGAUGGGGAGAGAUCUGUGGGAAGAACUUGCAUGACGAAUAUAAAACGUACUUCAUUUCCUUGUCUUAAGACACCACUAUGCAUUUCAGAUAUUUUGAAAUCAUUGUUUGUAAUAAAAAAAUGGCAUUACAUUAAAUGGUGUGUGAGUGUGUGUGUGUGUGUGUGAGUGUGUGUACGUGUAUGUGUGUGUGUGUGUGUUUGUACCAUUUUCUGCAAAAAGCUGUUACCUUUACCUUCCUUUCUCCAAGUUCUCUCCUCCAUAAAUUGCCACCAGAGACAGUCCAAAUCAAAGGGGAGAUGAUUACAAAUGGCCACUCACCUGCUGAGUG